UACAGAGGGUGCGAGCGUUGUCCGGAAUCACUGGGCGUAAAGGGCGCGUAGGCGGCUUGAUAAGUAGGGGGUGAAAUCUUGCGGCUCAACUGCAAGGCUGCCUCCUAAACUGACAGGCUUGGGCACAGUAGAGGCAGGUGGAAUUCCCGGUGUAGCGGUGGAUGACGUAGAGAUCGGGAAGAACAUCGGUGGCGAAGGCGGCCUGCUGGGCUGUUGCUGACGCUGAGGCGCGACAGCGUGGGGAGCAAACAGG
rnacentral:rRNA from 1 species